CAUGAAGUUAUCAUGUCUGCAGCAUGUGGGCGGAACCACACCUUGGCCUUGACAGAAACGGGCUCCGUGUUUGCGUUUGGGGAGAACAAGAUGGGGCAGCUGGGCCUUGCCAAUCAGACAGACUCUGUCCGUAGCCCCGUGUAGAUAAUGUAUAACGGCUGGCAUUUACUAAAAUGGCCUGUGGGGCUGAAUUCAGUAUGAUAAUGGACUGAAAAGGAAACCUCUAUUCUUUUGGGUGGCCUGAAUAUGGUCAGCUGGGACACAACUCGGAUGGGAAGUUCAUCUCCCGGGCACAGCGGAUAGAGUACGACUGCGAACUGGUACCCCCGCGAGUGGUCAUCUUCAUCGAGAAGACAGAUUCUGCCUGUACCAAAAGGUGGUUGUGCGAGACGUGGCCUGUGGUGCUAACCACACGCUAGUCCUGGACUCCCAGAAGCGAGUCUUCUCUUAGGGCUUCGGUAGCUAUGCCUGGCUGGGCCACGCAGAGCAGAAGGACGAGAUGGUCCCCCACUUGGUGAAGCUGUUUGACUUCCCUGGGCGUGGGGUGCCCCAGAUCUAUGCUGGUUACACCUGCUCCUUGGCCCUCAGUGAAGUGGGUGGUCUGUUUUUCUGGGGGGCCACCAACACCUGCCGUGAAUCUGCCAUGUACCCGAAAGCAGUGCAGGACCUCUGUGGCUGGAGAAUCUGGAGCCUGGCUUGUGGGAAGAGCAGCAUCAUUGUGGCCGCCGAUGAGAGCAUCAUCAGCUGGGGCCCAACACCGACCUUCGGGGAACUGGUCUACGGAGACCACAAGCCCAAGUCUUCCACUGCAGCCCAGGAGGUGAAGACUCUGGAUGACAUUUUCUCAGAGAAGGUCGCCAUGGGCUACUCACACUCCUUGGUGAUAGCAAGAGACGAAAGUGAGACCGAGAAAGAAAAGAUCAAGAAACUGCCAGAAUACAACCCCGAACCCUCUGGAUGCUCCCGGAGACUCCUCCGACUCCACACCUCUCGCGGCAGCUGUCGUUUCCAUAUGCACUGGGACGUGAAGUCAAACAAGGAAUUUAAAAAAGCAAAAGUUGACCGAAGAUGCAUUUUUGUUUGGACUCUCUGAGGUUCCGU